CCUACGGGAGGCAGCAGUGGGGAAUUUUGGACAAUGGGCGAAAGCCUGAUCCAGCAAUGCCGCGUGAGUGAAGAAGGCCUUCGGGUUGUAAAGCUCUUUUGUCAGGGAAGAAACGGUGAAAGCUAAUAUCUUUUGCUAAUGACGGUACCUGAAGAAUAAGCACCGGCUAACUACGUGCCAGCAGCCGCGGUAAUACGUAGGGUGCAAGCGUUAAUCGGAAUUACUGGGCGUAAAGCGUGCGCAGGCGGUUUUGUAAGUCUGAUGUGAAAUCCCCGGGCUCAACCUGGGAAUUGCAUUGGAGACUGCAAGGCUAGAAUCUGGCAGAGGGGGGUAGAAUUCCACGUGUAGCAGUGAAAUGCGUAGAUAUGUGGAGGAACACCGAUGGCGAAGGCAGCCCCCUGGGUCAAGAUUGACGCUCAUGCACGAAAGCGUGGGGAGCAAACAGGAUUAGAUACCCUGGUAGUCCACGCCCUAAACGAUGUCUACUAGUUGUCGGGUCUUAAUUGACUUGGUAACGCAGCUAACGCGUGAAGUAGACCGCCUGGGGAGUCGGUCGCAAGAUUAAAACNCGAAAGAUUGACGNNGAGAGNGCGAGACGACGACGAGGGAGGAGG
rnacentral:rRNA from 1 species